CAAUAAACCCGGUAGGAGCGGUCAUCCCGACUUGUUCUGUCGGGAUAAAGCGGAUAACGGGACUGCUG
rnacentral:sRNA from 1 species